UCAGCAAAGUGGUUGUGUCUUA
rnacentral:miRNA from 1 species